UAUGCACAUGUAAGGCUUUCCGAAAAAGGUCUCACUCAUCAAAUAAUGAAAGCUCAAAAUGAGGGAAAGGUUUUGGGAAUGGUGUACCACUCGAGUUUGUCAAAAAGAUUGGCAUAAAGGAUGUGACAACUCAAGUGUGUAUAUCCAUGAAUCAGUACACAAGGGACCAUAAGCAAGAAGCAUUAAGUUCGUUCAAUUCAAACAAGGUUGUAGUUGGCUUCAAAGGUUGAGUUUCAGCAAUCAAC
rnacentral:lncRNA from 1 species